UGGGGAAUUUUCCGCAAUGGGCGAAAGCCUGACGGAGCAAUGCCGCGUGGAGGUGGAGGGCCUACGGGUCGUCAACUUCUUUUCUCGGAGAAGAAACAAUGACGGUAUCUGAGGAAUAAGCAUCGGCUAACUCUGCGCCAG
rnacentral:rRNA from 1 species